CCCUUAGAUGUUCUGGGCUGCACGCGCGCUACACUGAAGCGUUCAACGAGUAUUCACCUUGCCCGGGAGGGUUGGGUAAUCUUUUCAAAACGCUUCGUGAUGGGGAUAGAUUAUUGCAAUUAUUAAUCUUCAACGAGGAAUUCCUAGUAAGCGCGAGUCAUCAGCUCGUGCUGAUUACGUCCCUGCCCUUUGUACACACCGCCCGUCGCUCCUACCGAUUGAGUGGUCCGGUGAAUAAUUCGGACUGCAGCAGGCCUGGUCUCCGGGUUUUGCAGCGGAAAGUUUAGUGAACCUUAUCACUUAGAGGAAGGAGAAGUCGUAACA
rnacentral:rRNA from 1 species